CCGUACCGGUUUUUUCCUCCAUUUUCAUAAGAAAACUCCCUGAUUAAACAAUUCAUUAGGGCUCGUCUCGAAAAACGAUUCGAUUCUCAGAGAACUCAUUAAUUAUUUCCGCUGUCAAUGAGUUUCUGAGAGCUUAGCAUUUCAAAUUAUAUACUGCAAGAUCUCCCUCGCAUUUCACAUUUUACCUACAAUGGACGAGUCUUACUCCAAUUUUCCUACCAGCCAUUUGAUCGGCUCUGUACCGGUUCGCACUCUUCGCUCAUGACUCUUUUGCGCUUAAUUUCUCUUACUUUAUGUAUCGAUUGCUCUAAUGGAGACAUUGUUGUUUUUAAAAAAAAAAAUUAUAUUGGGGUUUUAGGUCUUGCUUGUUGUAGAUUUUAUUGGUUUUUGCUCUAUUAGCUAUUACGGAGAAGUGCAAAACCAAGUAGAGAAGCAAAAUUAGGACUUUCUAGCUCUCUCUUUUUUCUUAGUAAAGUCAAUUUAUUAAAUUUAGUUGUAACAAAAUGUCCUUUGGUCGUAUCAGCAUAUAUGGAUGAAUGCAUGCUUUAGCCGUUAAGUUUAUUUUUAUUUGGUAUAUCUGCAAUCCUUAGCUUUUGGAUUUAAAAAGCAGCUUCAACAUUUACCACUGAUUGGACGAAAAUGAAUUCCAACUCAUGAAUUUUCUAGUUAUAGAGAUACGAUAGUUAGGAUUUAAUUACAUCUAAAUACUGGAGGGAUCUGAGUAUCUGACUCCCUUUUCUAGUGGCGUUUCAAAUCCUUAAAUUUCUUGAUUAGGAUUUGAGUUCCUACUGGUUCAACUAUGUAGAACAUUAGUUUUAUUGAUGCAAUCCCUGGAUUAAAAUAUCAACCAUGAGAUACAGACUUAGUCCUAAUCGGUUAAAAAGGUAAGAUGUAAUCAUUAUCCACAUUUAGUUAGUAUUGCAGCUGCUUAGAUGUUGGAGUUUUAGCUGAAUAGAUUGCUUGCACCGUGCAGGCUGUUGUUACUGAAGAAAAAAGCACCACUAAUCUGCAAGGUACUUCAUUAUUUGUUGCAUGGAGAGAUUUGGGCUUAUAGAUCCAUAUGUCAUGCUUUCGAGUGUCAUAUGAAAGGAGCCAAAAUAGGGGCCUGACAUAAUGUGAUUUAAGUUGAUUUAAAUUUGUCAAAUCCAUAUUUUCAUAGGUAAUACCCAAACAACUGCACAUGAUUUAAGCUUAUGAAUAUGAAAGAAUACGGUCAAAUCUCUUAAGAGGACCCUUAAUAUUUUCUACUGUUCUACCAGAGAGCCGACUGGCUAAUCUAAUAUAUAUGCAGCUCCUGCAGCAAAUUUGCAAAUAUUUCCUCCAAAUAAUGGUGCCAGUACAGGGAACGGAUAUCAAACUCUCGGAGGAACUAGUGGUAUGCCUGUUAUUUAUAGAUUUACCCCCUUUCCAUGCGUAGUUGCACGGUUGAUAUUUAGUAUUGAGAAAUUAGUUGUUGAUAAAAAAAAGAUUUGAGAAACUAAUAUGAUUUGCAUCUCAUAAUAGUAGGUUUGGUCUUUGGAUGAGUAUAUUAGUAAUAAAAAAAAAAAUUUCAGAACCGCCGGGAACCGCCAGAACUGCCCGGAACCGGAACCGCCAGAACCGGAACCGGAUGGUACCCGGAACCGGAUGGUAGCUGUUCGGGAUCCAGAACCGCCAGAACUGCCAGAACCCGAACCGCCAGAAUCGGAACCGCCAGAAUCGAAACCGCAGACCCAAAUAGAUCCAGAAGCGGAACCGAAUACAACCUUAGUUAGUUUGUGCACAUCGCCCUCAAUUUUCCAACCCAUCACCCACGUCCAUGGCGCGAUACGUAAAAGUUCAUUGACACGCGUUGGCUCCAAUCGAACUUCACCCGUACCGGUUAUUUCCACCAUCUUCAUAAGAAGGCUUCCUGAUUAAACAAUUCAUUAGGGCUCGUCUCGAAAAACGAUUCGAUUCUCAGAGAACUCAUCAAUUAAAUCGGCUCUCAAUUUUGGUAUCAAUGAGUUUCUGAGAGCUUAGCAUUUCAAAUUAUCUACUGCAAGAUCUCCCUCGCAUUUCACAUUUUACCUACAAUGGACGAGUCUUACUCUAAUUUUCCUACCAGCCAUUUGAUCGGCUCUGUACCGG
rnacentral:lncRNA from 1 species